rnacentral:rRNA from 2 species
UUAAGCAUAUCAAUAAGCGGAGGAAAAGAAACUAACAAGGAUUCCCCUAGUAACUGCGAGUGAAGAGGGAAAAGCUCAAAUUUAAAAUCUGGCAGUCUCUGGCUGUCCGAGUUGUAAUUUAGAGAAGUGUUACCCGCGUUGGACCGUGUAUAAGUCUCCUGGAAUGGAGCGUCAUAGAGGGUGAGAAUCCCGUCUUUGACACGGACUACCAAGGCAUUGUGGUGCGCUCUCGAAGAGUCGUGUUGUUUGGGAAUGCAGCACUAAAUGGGUGGUAAAUUCCAUCUAAAGCUAAAUAUUGGCGAGAGACCGAUAGCGAACAAGUACCGUGAGGGAAAGAUGAAAAGAACUUUGGAAAGAGAGUUAAACAGUACGUGAAAUUGCUGAAAGGGAAACGCUUGAAGUCAGUCGCGUUGGCUAGGGAUCAACCUUGCUUUUGUGGGGUGUACUUCCUAGUUAACGGGUCAACAUCAGUUUUGACUGCUGGAAAAAGGCCAGGGAAAUGUGACAACUCCGGUUGUGUUAUAGUCUCUGGUCAUAUACAGUGGUUGGGACUGAGGAACUCAGCACGCCGCAAGGCCGGGUUUUUAACCACGUUCG